rnacentral:rRNA from 1 species
UACGUAGGCAGCAAGCGUUGUUCGGAGUUACUGGGCGUAAAGAGUGCGUAGGCGGUUCGUAAGUUUGGUGUGAAAUCUCCCGGCUUAACUGGGAGGGUGCGCCGAAACUGCGGGGCUGGAGUGUGGGAGAGGUAAGCGGAAUCCUGGUGUAGCGGUGAAAUGCGUAGAUAUCAGGAGGAACACCGGCGGUGUAGACGGCUUACUGGACCAUGACUGACGCUGAGGCACGAAAGCGUGGGAGCAACAGG